AGUGAACGCUGGCGGUAGGCCUAACACAUGCAAGUCGAACGGCAGCACAGUAAGAGCUUGCUCUUACGGGUGGCGAGUGGCGGACGGGUGAGGAAUACAUCGGAAUCUACUUUUUCGUGGGGGAUAACGUAGGGAAACUUACGCUAAUACCGCAUACGACCUACGGGUGAAAGCAGGGGAUCUUCGGACCUUGCGCGAUUGAAUGAGCCGAUGUCGGAUUAGCUAGUUGGCGGGGUAAAGGCCCACCAAGGCGACGAUCCGUAGCUGGUCUGAGAGGAUGAUCAGCCACACUGGAACUGAGACACGGUCCAGACUCCUACGGGAGGCAGCAGUGGGGAAUAUGGGACAAUGGGCGCAAGCCUGAUCCAGCCAUACCGCGUGGGUGAAGAAGGCCUUCGGGUUGUAAAGCCCUUUUGUUGGGAAAGAAAAGCAGCAGGUUAAUACCCCGCUGUUCUGACGGUACCCAAAGAAUAAGCACCGGCUAAAUUCGUG
rnacentral:rRNA from 1 species